rnacentral:rRNA from 1 species
CCUGGCGGCGAAGCGCGGUGGUCCCACCCUGACCCCAUGCCGAACUCAGAAGUGAAACGCCGUAGCGCCGAUGAAGUAGCGUGGGUCUCCCCAUGUGAGAGAGUAAAGGAACUGCCGGGC